CAAAAAAAAAAAAAAAGAGAGAGAAAGUUCCUGGGUCUCUCUGUGCCUCCGUGUGCUGGGGUCAUGGAGUGCGCACCCCGUGGGGUUGCCCCGAGGAUUGGUGAAUGCGAGCACCAGGCACAGCGCCUGGUGGGCAGUCAGUGCUUGCCAGAUGCUGGCCGUUGUCACUAUCUGCAGUAGUUGUCCCUAAGCUACACGCUUGCACGCGUGUGCAUGUGCGAGCCCGGGGAGCUGGGUUUCUUCCCAAAGCGGAGCUGUCGCCGUGACUCGCUGGGCAGCGUGUUCUGACAGGCGUCGGCACUCCUGCCGCACGGUCAGCUCCCGCCAGGCCUUUCUGAUGAGCCGGCCAGCCUACAGCCCCUCAUUCCCGGCCACUGCAGUCACACAGCGAUUCCUGGGGGACGGGUGCGUGUCCUCACCCUACGUGGCCCCGUCUGCUGAGCCAAGCAGGGGUGGCCAGGAGCCCUGGACAGGGCGGCCAGCUCCAGGCUUGCCUCUGCCUCAGCUGUGGCAGCCUCGGGCCGGCGUCUCUCCCUCUGGGCCUCCACGCCCUCGUGGUGACAGGGGGAUGAUCUGAAAUAAGAUUCUGGCCCUCGCCGUCUCUUUGAUGGCUCAGACUCCGGGGUUCUAUCUUCGUGCUGUCUGUUAAUAGCAUCGCCUCCCUCACAGCAGCUUGCAUGCCCUGAACACCUGCUAGAUGCCACAGACGCCACUUGGUGGUCCAUAUAACAUCAAUAGCAGCCGUCGGUCACUGCGUGCUCCGGCCCACCACCAGGAGCACCUGACGUUCACCCUCGCAGGCUCCUUCUGGGCAGGUGCUGUGACCAUCCUCGCCGUGGGCCGCGCUGCCUGGGCUGCACUCGCCGUGGGCCGCGCGGCCCGGGCUGCACGCGCUGAGGGCCUCUCGUGAUGCCGAUCUGAACCCAAGGGCUGGGCUCCUAACCACUAAACCGUGCCCACGUCCCUGCAGCCCUGUGAGGGAGGAAUGACCAUCCCAAACAAAGCCUGCAGCCCAGAGGGGACAGUGCUUCCGCCCACGAGCCCUGCCGGAGACAACGGCCUCCCAGCCAUCCUGCCUCUUCUUUCCGUCCUCUGUGAUCCUGACGGCCUCAGCUGAGGCUUCAAAGAAAUGUGCUUGGGCUCUGAGACUCUUGGCCACCACCCAGAAUUCCUGUUCAGUCCCCCUGGGCCUGCAGUGGGCUUCAGAGAACCGAGGGCCCAGCCUUUGCCCGGAGUCUGACUUCCAGGUCUCAUCCAUGCCCAUGAGAGGUGGGACAGAGAUUCCUGCCCUUCCAGCCAAAUCCGACAAUCCAGAAGCUCUCAAGUUAGAGAAGGUCAACUGGUCACUCCCAAUGUUGUCCCUCGCUUGGCAACUGAAGGUUCUUGUCAUGUGGUCUCAAGUAACUAACAAUAUCUGUGGACCUAAAUCUCCCCACCUGCCAAGUGGAGAUGCUGUUCCUCAGCCUGGGCGGGAGCAGACAGGAGGUGCUGGGUGCGGACUGGCACGCUGUCGCCAGGCCUCCAGCACGGCCGGCAGCUGGGCUCCCACGCCGGGUUGGACCAGUGGGGUCUCCUGCUUCCCUGAGGGACGCGCCUGUCCAAAGGCAAAGCUGGGCCCCAAACUCAAAACCAAAAAGCCAAUGAGAUACUGGUGGCAGAAGUCCUACCUGGGAAGAAAUGUCCCUGUGGGUCGCCAAGGAAGGCUGGGCACAGGCCUAUCAGGAAAGGACAGACAGAGAGAAAACAAGGCUGGAAAUAUUCAUGAAAGAUAAAACAGAAUUUGAACGGAAAAGCAAUAAAUCGAAUGAUUAGAAGACC